ACUCCUACGGGAGGCAGCAGUGGGAAUAUUGCACAAUGGGCGCAAGCCUGAUGCAGCCAUGCCGCGUGUAUGAAGAAGGCCUUCGGGUUGUAAAGUACUUUCAGCAGGGAGGAAGGUGGUAGUGUUAAUAGCGCUAUCAUUUGACGUUAGCUGCAGAAGAAGCACCGGGCUAACUCCGUGCCAGCAGCCGCGGUAAUACGGAGGGUGCGAGCGUUAAUCGGAAUUACUGGGCGUAAAGCGCAUGCAGGUGGUUUGUUAAGUCAGAUGUGAAAGCCCGGGCUCAAGCCUCGGAAUUGCAUUUGAAACUGGCAGACUAGAGUACUGUAGAGGGGGGUGGAGUAAUUGAUC
rnacentral:rRNA from 1 species